rnacentral:lncRNA from 12 species
GGGUGCAAAAGAGGAAACCAGAGCUGGCCAGGUGGAGAGGCGUGUCUGCAGGCAGAACCAGAACUAGACAUCUUCUGCCCCCAAGGCCCACCACAGCUGCCAGAAAUAAGGCGGCGGAUCACCGUGCCUGCCUCCACCCCUGGCCCCGGUGGAGAAGUGAAACACAAACCCACCAGCGUCAGAAAGAAGAGAAGGAACCAGCUGAGGCUGUGGAAUUCGAAGGCAAAAGUCACCCUGAUCAAAUGGUGUGGAUUAAUGACCCGGCCCUGAGGUCAGCCCCUGGAAGCAAUGUAAGAUGGGCCCAGGGAUCUGAGAUUCCGACCCCCACAGGCAAGCAGAAGUGUUCCCUCCCACACUGGGCCGCCUCCCUUCCUGAGCAAUUCUGCUCCGAUUCUGUGGGUGAAGCAGCUGUGCCUUGUGCAGUGUUCUAAUGCCAAGCACGUCGUAGGUCUUAGACCAGGCAGGAUGCUCCAUCUGCACUGAGCACUUACUGAGCACGAGCCAAUGGUAACCAUGUCUUCCCUCCUCACAACAACCCGAGGUAAGACACGUACCCUUCCUCCAUGCCAUUUUAUAUCCAUGGAAGCUGAGGCCCACAGAGGCACCUUGUCCACCUUGCCCUGUCAUGUAGCUGCUGGUGACAAAGCAGAGGUUCAAACCCAACCUGAGUGACUCCUGAUGGAGCCACUCUGUUGAAAUCAACACCAGGUGAUUGGGAUAUGUAUACUUUGCUUUUCUCUUUUAAUUAAAAACAUUUCCCCCCUUGUAAAGAACACAGAUUGCUUGCAUUUUAAAAGGGAGGAACCAAUCAAAGCAUUUACAGAUAACAUGACAUAUUGUCUGGAAUUUGAUUUAAAUGAAUCCAAUUGGGGGGAAAUAUAAAUAACACAAAAUUGUGCUUGGGUAUUAGGUGUGAGGUUCUUUAUACUGUUCUCUCCCAUUGUGAACAUGUUUGCGAGUGUCCCUGAUCAUUUAAAAACAUAAUUUACACUUAGCAUGUAAAAAGCAAUUAAUUCAGGAGAACAGACUGGCCCAGGAGGGGCCCUGUCCCCGGGGGAUGGUGGCAGGGCGUCACCCCGCCCCACAGCUGAAAGCACUUUAAGGGC